GAGGCCUUAGCUUAAUUAAAGUGUCUGAGUUGCAUUUAGGAGAUGAUAUAUAUAAAAUUAUAGGUCUUC
rnacentral:tRNA from 1 species